GUGGGCAACUUACUAAGAGCUUGGGUCGUCCUGCGCCUGUCACCGAUGAGAAACUUGGUGGGCCUCACAACAGUAGCACGCCCGCAAGUGUAGCCCGGGCCUGGGGUCUUAAGAGUGAAGUUUUUGGGCAGCUUAACCGUCUUAUUGGUAGUCCCAGAAAGACCUACACUGAUCUGGAAGGAGGCAGCAUUUGCUGGGUCCUGGUUAAACGUACUUAUAACUCCUCCCUUGCAGCAGUUGCCAACUUGGUCUUUGUACGGUGUUCCUGGGAGAAGAUCGAUGACGGUCGGAUCUCUCUUGCAGCAAUGGGGAGGGUUGGUCUUGAACUUGGAGCAGUCGCCCUGCUCGGUGGUCUGA
rnacentral:rRNA from 1 species